rnacentral:rRNA from 1 species
GACGAACGCUGGCGGCGUGCUUAACACAUGCAAGUCGAACGGUAAGGCCCUUCGGGGUACACGAGUGGCGAACGGGUGAGUAACACGUGGGUGAUCUGCCCUGCACUUCGGGAUAAGCCUGGGAAACUGGGUCUAAUACCGGAUAGGACUCCGGACUGCAUGGUCUGGGGUGGAAAGCUUUUGCGGUGUGGGAUGGGCCCGCGGCCUAUCAGCUUGUGGGUGGGGUGAUGGCCUACCAAGGCGACGACGGGUAGCCGGCCUGAGAGGGUGACCGGCCACACGGGGACUGAGAUACGGCCCAGACUCCUACGGGAGGCAGCAGUGGGGAGUAUUGCACAAUGGGCGCAAGCCUGAUGCAGCGACGCCGCGUGAGGGAUGACGGCCUUCGGGUUGUAAACCUCUUUCAGCAUCGACGAAGCGAAAGUGACGGUAGGUGCAGAAGAAGGACCGGCCAACUACGUGCCAGCCGCCGCGGUAA